GCUAUUUUAUCGGUUUUUAUGCUUUUCAUCAUCUGGGGUUGUUGAAAAAUUGAGUCUUGGAGAAGUGGGGUGGAUGUUUUUUUGGAAAUUUUCUGUUGCCCCUUUGUGUAUUUCCUUCUUUUUGAGUGAAUUUAGGGAAGUGGGGUUUUGAUUAUUUGUUUGAUUUUAGAGGUUUUUGGUGAUUUUAAGGUGAAGGGUAGAGAAAAG
rnacentral:misc_RNA from 1 species